UGUGGGAUGUGGGAUGUGGGCUGUGGUAUAGGUGCCGCCAGUUGAUAACCCCCAGC
rnacentral:pre_miRNA from 1 species